UACACACCGCCCGUCACACCAUGGGAGUUUGGUUUUUACCUUUAAGACUGUGCGCUAACCGCAAGGAGGCAGCAGGCCACGGUAAGGUCAGCGACUGGGGGUG
rnacentral:rRNA from 1 species